rnacentral:sRNA from 1 species
AUCACCUUGACAUGGUGGGGGUCGCUGGUUCGAGACCAGUCGGGACCAUUUAUAAAAAAAGCACCCUUUUAUAAAGGAUGCUUUUUUUAUU